GUAGGUUCAUGCACAGUAUGUCCCAAAUAAGGGUUUAGUUGCUGCAUUACAAAUAACUUUUAAAUAAGAUGGUUCAGUCAGGUUCUUUAUUUGUCUUAGAGAAAGGAUAUCCAAAACACAUGUCUGAAAAAUACAAUUGUACAGGGUUUCUACAGGAUUACCUCACACCACUUUCUCUAACACAGAAUCUAACACAGAAGUGAAAGUAUAUCUUACCUGACAAAUUAUCACAAAUAUAGUUCAGAUAUUACCAUUUUAUUACUAAAUUUUAUUACACAACCAAACAUCUGACCGUAUGUGGCAUGGAUAGCCCCUGCACUUGAAAAGAAUUAGUGGAAGAUCCUGAAAGGAGAAGACUUAGCUAUGCUUAAUUGUCCAUGUGACUUGCUCCCUGACCUAGUCACAUGUCUGGCUCUUUCUCCAUGUGCUCCAAGAACCUAGUUAGUCUGCUUUAUCCAAUUUUUCAGCCUGCUCUUCCCUGAAAAGGAAGCUCAGCAAGAGAAAAGUUUCAAAUUAGAACCAUUCCCCACAACAUGCAGUACCACCUGAAAAUAUUGAAACAACAAGUUGGUUCAUCCUUCAGCCAAGGUGACAGACACUCAAAUGGCUCUGGAAGACAACACUGCAAACUGGCUGAAACUUUAGACCCAGAGGAACUGGAGCUCAAACAGAAGUUGAAGAAGCUGACCGAAAACAUCAGUGAUAAAGAAAAAUGUUCUGAAGAGAACUGUACAUCUGAUGAGGAUGAGGCCAAUCAACUAAGAGAUGAUAUUAAACCUCCAGGGACAAAAGAGCCUUAUUUUGCCUCGGCCCUUAGAAGUAAAACUAUGACAUCAGAUGAUUUCUUUGGCAGCUUUUUUAGGAAUGAGCUGUCCUCUCUGCAGAGGUCUGCUGUUGAUCUUGAGAGACCCACUGUCACCCAAAGGAGGUUGAGUUUCUAUGAGGUCAGUACUGCAAGCUGUGAGCUGUCUCGGCUAGAGGAUGAAGUAGCAACGGCAGUGGCCAGAGUCCAGAGAGCUCAAAGUGAGGUUACAGCUAUCCAAAAGCGUAUUGCUGCCUUAGGACAGGAAUAGCAGUGGAAUUUCACCAGCAAAAGUCUCUAGAGUUUACAUAGGAUGGUGUGAAAACCAAACAAAACAUCAGAAAAUCUUCACAGAAGACACAACACAUUGAACCUUGAGGUGGAUGGCCUACAACAGAAGUAGACCACAUUGAGUUCCACUCUGGGUUCCACUCUGAACAGGAAUCUGAGGCUACAAUCUACAGAGCUAAAAUGGCCAAUCAAACCAGCCCUGCG
ensembl:lncRNA